GUAUAAACUCUGUCAUUUAUUUAACUUAUUAACAUGAGAAAAAUUAAUUUUCAUAUUCACUUUAUACUAUCUUACAUACUAAUUAUUAUCAAGUACCUAUAGGAAAUUUUAAUCAAUGAUGUUUAACAUAUCAUUAUGAAAGUAGUACAACCUUUAUUAAAAGAAUAUCACAAUUGAUAUUGGGAUGUCAAAAUGAAUAUCAGAAGACUUAACAAGCAAAUAAAAAUUUAAAAAUUAUUCACAAAGAAUACAUAGGUUAAAAAACUAUUUAAAUAACGCUCAAAGAAAUAGAUUAAGAGUAUUAAUAGCAGCAGCUCUAAAUAAAAAUCAUAAUUUGGUAUUAGGACAGUAUACUCUGUUAAAAAGAUAUAAAAAUAGAAUAAUAAAUACAACCCUAUAUACAGCUUAAUGAGUUAUUAUACUAAUUUCUUAGACGAAAAAAAACACUUAUCACUAUUUUAAAAGUGAUAAAAUUGAAUAAAGAUUUACAGGAAAGGAUCCUAGAUAAAAUCAUAGAUCAUAUGGUUCAAGAACAAUGGUCUAUUCAUAAUUAUUCUUAUAAAGAUUCUGAUGAAGAUGAUUAUUGGUCAUACUCUGAUUAUAAUGAUUAUUGGCCUUAUGAAUAUGAUGAUGGUUAUUACACUGACUGAUUGUCUAAAUAUUCCACUUGAACACCCUAUUUUUAAAACAGCACCCUUUUAUUGGUAUCAGAGCCUAGUUACUAAACAAUUUCAAUGAGAAAACCAUUCAAAAAUAGAAUGAUUUUUGGAAAAAUUAAAACAGACCUAAAUAGUUUUUACCCAGAAUACAAACAGCUUAUGAUAACAAAACAUGAUCCACAUAGAUUGGAUUAUUUAAUCACUUUGAUCUCUAGUUUAGAGCAAAAUCAGUAAUUCAUUUAAAAUCUAGAUAUCAAAUAAAAUAUGCCUCUAGAAUAUAUAAGAAGAAUUAGAUUAAGACAAAGUUGGUUAGACAACGAAAUUAAUCACAGAAGAGAACUUAAAGAGAUAUUAAAAUAUCAUAAAGGAAGCUUAGCUUGGUUAAAAAUUAUCAUAGCAAAAAGCAAUAACUGGAUGAUCAUUAGCGAUAUGUUAAAAGAACAAGAUUUGCUAAUAAGAGAAAUUAAAAAUAUAGAACUAGAUAUUACCUACAGUACAAGUAGAUUAAAAUAUUAUAUAAAAAUCUGUAAAAUUACAAGUACUUUAGGAUAAUAAACAAUAUGAAUAAAAAACAAGCCUUAAAAUUAAUAUCGGAAUUAAAACAAGAACUUAUCAUCCGAAAGGAAAGAUAUGCUUAUAAUCAAUUUGCAGGAGUCUGCAAAAAUUCUUUGUUUCAUCAAAAGAAAAUUAUUUUCGAACUAGAACAAGAAAUCUAGCAUCUAGAAUUUAAACUAGAAAAUAAUUUGUUUAAUAAUGAAUGAUAAAGAAUUUAUGGAAAGAGUUCUAAACAAGUUAGAUGAUCCUUUAUCUAUACAGAAGCAUAUAAGCCUAAAAAUAAAUCUAAUAGAAGACGAAAUAAAAACUCUUAAAAAUAAUGCACCAACCAGUAUGAGUAAACUUAUUGAAAAAACUGAAACCUUUAAUAAAGAAUUAAGAAAGAAAAUUAGAAAUAAAAUUUUUACAUCAAGAAUUUCAAAUAAAGGAAGUUAUCAACAAGGAAGUCUAGAUGAAAAAAUUAUUUCUAAGUUUUUAGAAAAAAGACAUAGAGAAGAUUUAAAAAAAUUAGAAGAAAGUUCGACAACUUUUAACGAAAAGGAAGAAGCUUGUACUUCAAAAACAAAUAUCGAAGAUCUUACUGAAACAGAAAAUGAAUGAGCUCGACAAAUUAGUCUAUGCUCUAGAAGAGCUUGAUCUAAAUGAUCGAAAUUAUCAUGUGUAUACAAACAAAGGGGAUACAAGAGGACCGCAAGGAACCUUUAAAACCCCUAAAGAAGAAGAAAGCACAGUUGAUGAACCAGUAAGAAGAAGUAGUUUCUUACCAAGGUCCAAAAAAUGGAAAGACUAUAAUAGUCAAUACCAUAUAAAUUCUAAAGCAAAAUUCAUGCCAAAUAGGUUACUGAUAGGUGAUGCUGGAGCAGCUCAAUUCCUUGAUUUAGAUUGUAAAAGAGAACCCAAAGAAUUUUUAGAUUUAUGGGCAAAAAAUCUAGAACUAUUUUUUAUACUAGGAAAACGAAAUAAUUACAGCAGGGAAGAGAAAUAUUUAAUAGCUACAAAUACCUUUACAGGAAAAGUAGACAAUUGGUUUAGAAAGGUAUCUGUAGAAACUGAAAAGGUCUUCAGAACAGAAGUAAUCGCAGAUUUUGAAAAAUCAACGCGAGAGGGAACAAAUCACUUAGUAAGAUACAUAGGAGCUGAAUUCUUAGGAAGUCAAUCAAACAUCUCUAAAGAAAAAGAGAAACAAGGGCUACUAGCAGCUGAAUGGCUAGAGAAACUUCAAAGUUGUAAGAUGAAGUAUAUUCAGGAAUAUACUUGCGAAUUUGAAACUUACUACUACCAGUUGUUUGAUAGCAAUAAAAAUCUAACCCCAUAUAUGGAUAAAUAUUUUCAAAAAUUACCAGAAUAUUGGGCUAGUUAUUUUAGAAGAGAAUACGCUAAAGAGGAUCAAACUGACGACUCUUUAGGAAAAAGAAUUACCUUCCUUAACCAAAGACUUAGUCAGCUUUGUAUGCUACAUAACAUGCAAAGAAAGGCUAAUAGAAUUGAUACUCAAAUCUCCUGUGAGGACACAGAAGCAGCAUCUCAAUGAGGAUGUCAUGACAGAAAUUCUUUAAAAAGGAAAAGAAAAAACAAAGGAUUAAUUAAAAGAAAAAACAUUUCAAAGAAAAAUUACAUACCAAGAAAAACAUACUAUAAAAAACGUAGGUAUUUCAAAAAGAAACCUACAAGCAAGUGUAAAUGCUAUAACUAUGGAGAAGAAGGCCUAGGUCAAUAGUCAAUCCUAUAUGGCAUAUUUUAGAAGCCUCCAAACCUAUUUAUCUUUUUUUGUGGUUUUUUUUGGAUAUUUGUUGAGUUUUCUCCUUAUUUUAAAUAUUUGUGUGUUUAAAGAAAAAUCAAAAGUCAAAAGUCACCAUAUUUAAACUCUAUUAAUUACUCCCUUCGUCCCAUUUACCCGUCCCAAAUUUUCUAAUCUAGUGUCCCAUUUUACUUGUCCUUUUUUACUUAUCAAGACAAGACAAAAAAAAUUUUCCAUGUUUUACUCUUUGCAUUAAUUACUUUUUCUUUAAAUUAAAAUGUAAACAUCACUUAAUAAGGAUACUAUGGUAAACUAGUCAUAUUAUUUAUUAUUUUUCUUAAUUGUUGUGUUAUCCCAAUUUGGGACGAGUAAAAUGGCACGAAGGGAGUAUGUAAUAAAAGUAAAAAAAUAUUUGAGGUAACUCAUCUAUUUAAUGUCUACAAAUGAUAUUUGUAACUCUCAAGCUAUUCAUGAGUUUGUAUUUAUAACCCCUAAAUAUUUAAUAAAAAAGUUAAUGAUACCUUAUGAUUUUCCUUUAUUUUUAUGUAUAUAAAUUCAUAUUUUUGUUUCAUGAGAUGCUAUCCAAGGUCACCCUUCAUUUUCAUUAUUAUAUUCAUGCUUUUGUUUGUUUUGAAAAGAAGAAGACGACUUUUGAAUGGUGAUGGGCUUGUGGAAGUAGAUAUCGAGACAUUUAUGUAUUCAUUUCAUUUUUCUUUCUAUAGAAUUUCAUAUGUUUUAUUUCAUGCGAUUUUACCCCAGGGGAUUCUUCAUUUUCACUAUGAUGUUUAUGUUUCAUUUCACUUAAAAAAGAAGAAGAUACUCUUACAUGGUGAAAGACUUGUGAAAGUGGAUAUCGACAAGAGCUCAAACAUUUGAUUUCAACUUUCUUUUUAUUUUUCAACUAAUGAUUAAAAAUAUAAUAAUAUGUGUAUCGUCUUAUUUUUAUAAUUAUAUAUGAUGCCUCUUAAGUUCAACUUUUAAGUCUAUAAUUUCUUUUGGUUAAAUGAAUAACUUUGUAGUUGAAAAUUUCCUAAUUAUUAAUUAAGUUUCUUAAUUUAUAAUUAAUUUUUUUAGGCUUAUGAAAGUACAUACCGAGGCAUUAAUGUAUUCAUUUCGUUUUUCAUUCUAUAGAGGUUCAUAUAUUUUAUUGCAUUCGAUUUUUGCCGAAGGUUAUCCUUCAUUCUCACCAUGAUAUUUUUUUUUAUUUCACUUGAAAAAAAAAAAAAGAUACUAUUAAAUGGUUAAAGGCUUGUGGAAAUGGAUAUCGGCAAGAGCUUGGACAAUCAUGCAUUGAUUGUAUCUUUCUUUUUAUUUUUUAAUUAAUGAUUAAAAAUAUAAUAAUAUGUGUAUUGUCUUAUUUCUAUAUCUAUAUAUGAUGCCUCUUAAGUUCAAUUUUUAAGUCUAUAAUUCCUUUAUGUUCAAAUGAAUAAUUUGUAGUUGAAAAUUUAUGAAUUAUUAAUUAAGUUUCUUAAUUUAUAAUUGAUUUUUUAGGUGUCUAGCUUAUUUUCAUUAAUCACAUGUAAACAAUACAAAGCAACCAACAUCCACCGAUAGAUAAAUAAAUUUUAAUAACUAAAAUAUAUUCGUUAUUUGGCCUUAGUUAUGAUUAAGUUUUAGGACUAUCAAUAAAUAUGCGUGACAUAAAAUUUGAGAAAAAUAAAAGAACAUGCAUGGAGGCAAGGGAGGAAAAUGAGGUAAUUAAUUCUAAAAAUUUUAUAAACAUAAGGUAAUUAUGAAAAAUUUUAUAUACACAAAAAGAAUCAUUUAUGUUUUGUCCAUUUCUUUUUAAUUUUAAAAAAAUAGCGUAGUUAUCUGAUUUAUUUUAAGAAAAUUAUAUACAUAAAAAAGAAAUCUUUAUUUUUAUUUUUUUAUUUUUUUCUUUCUUUUAAAUUUGAGAAAUAGUGUAUUAUUUGAUUUAUUUUUAAUCAUUAUAAUUUCAAGAAUAAAUAUUUUUCUCUUCACCUUCUAAAUUAGAUGAUUUAAUGUUGUUAAUAUAUUUAAUUUAUGAAUUGUACGUCUAUUAUUUUUAAAAGUGGUUGAGUUGGUGUAAUUAUUUUUUUUUUGUAUUUUUUUAUUUUAUAUAUUCUUUUCAUAUAAAAAUCUAUGUAAAUAUUAUUUAAUAAACUAUUUGUAUUAUUAAAACCGCGCGAAGCACGGAUAAUUUAACUAGUUAUUUUAAAACUUAACCAUGUCAGAUAAUGAAGGACUUAUUUUAUGAAUGAGAUGUAUUUUUUUUAUGAUGUAUGUAGAAGAUAACUUAUAUUUCAGAAAAAUGGGAUUGGUCUAGCCUACCUUUUCAAAAUUACAAUUUAUAGACUUUUUUUUUCUUUUUUAUUUUUCCUUCGUUUCCUUUUGAUUUCUAUUUUUUGUUUCUUUCUAUUUUCCUCUAUUUUUUUCCUUUUUAUUUUACACUCUUCUAUAUCUUGUCUCGAGUUGUACUUUUUUUAUUUUUAGUUUCCUUUUUAUUUUUUCUUAUAUUUUAUGUUUUAUAUAUUAUAAUUUUUUUAUUUCUAUAGAACAUAACUAUGUAAAUACAAGUCAUGAAUAAUGACGAAAACAUAAUGAUCACACAUUAUACUAUAGAUAUAAAUUAUAGAUUUGUUAUUUUACCCUUUUUAUUAUUCCAAUUCCUAGUGGCAGUUGGUGGAACGAACACUGCAAGUAAUUUAAAUUGUACAAAAAGCAACAAAAGUAGUACAAAAAAACAUAGGAUAGUUAAACAAACACGUGUACUUGUUGUAGUGAUAUACCUCUAGAUUUACUUUUCUAGAUUUUGUCGUCUGAUUUCUUCUACUUUAAUUUCUUUUAUUGUUUAUUUAGUGGAAUUUUGCAUUUAUUUCUGGAUAAGGAAAGGAAUUGCAGGGAAGGCGUAGAGGAAGAUUCAUAUUCCAAAAUCUAAACAUUUUCAGGUACAUGGAGCAUGAUUGUAUAAAAUUUAUUUUUUCCUUCAUUCAUUUCUUGUGGAGCGUGCGAGAUGAAUCCUUGUUUGAGAGAAAAUGAAGAAAGGAGUUAAAAUGAAUUUGGAGUAUAUAUCUUCACAAUAGAAGGCAAAGGAGAAGACCGAGGGUUUCAAUGAAUUUGGAGUACUGCCUGAAGGCUGUGAAGCGAGGUUGUGGAUAAAUGACAUUUUAAUAUUAUUAUUAUUAAUGUCAAAAAUAUUUUUAUUAAUGUAAAAAAAUAUUUAUGAUUACCAUUAUCGGGUCCAUUCCCAUUUCAUUUUCUUACAAUGUACCAUGGGAAACAUGUUUUCAAAAUUGUUAUGCUAACUAAAACCAACGUUUGAAAUUCAAAAGGUGCAAACUUUUGAAAAUCAAUAAAAGAAUGUUGAUACUUUUUAAAUAUUUCUUGUUCUCUCUACAAAUAAUUCAAGAAAUAUCAUUUCAAAAAGGGAGCUAUACAAAAACACUAUAGAAAAGAAUAUAGAGAGAAAAAUUAAGUAGUGCAGAGAAAGAAAAAACUAGCAAAACUAAUUUAAAAGAGAGUUUAUUAGUUGGAGGGAGGUGUUAAUUUUGUGAGAGCUUUGAACUCAAUUCUAAUUCAGAGUAUUGAGUUAUUGUGUAUAGGCUAUUGUAUCCUGGAGGGGACAGGUCAAAGUGUGUUACUGCUGGAUCGGAGAAAUAAUUAUCGCAGUGGGCUUGAAUCUCCUUAAAGAGAGCGAGAUAUUCGCACCUCAUCCAUAGAAGAAGAAAUAUAUUUUUUUAUUCAUUUGUAAUUUGCAGUUGUAAUCACUGUAAUAUUUAUUGUAAUAUUAUUGUAACUUUAUUGUAAUAUCACCAACAAUUUUAAGGAGAAUUCAAAGGAUGGCAACAACUGAAAAUUCCGCGGAUGUCAAGCUGGGAGAUCUGAACAAGCCAUUUCGGUUCAACGAUACCCACUUUAAAAGGUGAAAGGGUAAAGUUCUUUUCUACUUAAGUUUCUCCAUGUCUCCUAUGUGUUAACGGAGAAGAACCCAAAUAAAGAAGAUUAUUCUAAAAUGACCGACGAUGAACUUAUUUCUCUUCAAGAGAAAAUUGAAAAAUAUGACGGUGACUCCUAUAAGUAUCGGUAUUAUUUACUAAAUUGUCUGUCUGAUAAUUUUUAUGAUUAUUAUGAUAGAACUUACUCUAGUGCAAAGAAAAUUUGGAAAGCAUUGUAGAGUAAAUAUGACACUGAGGAGGCGGGAGCAAAAAAUAUGAAGCUAGCAGAUUUUUUCGUUUUCAAAUGGUGGACAACAAAUCAGUAGUAGACCAAGUUCAAGACUUUAUAAUGAUCGUUGGCGAGCUCAGGUCUGAAGAAGUCAAAAUUGGAGAUAACCUUAUUGUUUGUGGCAUAAUUGAUAAACUUCCACCUUCGUGGAAGGAGUUUCAAAAAACUAUGCCUCACAAACAAAAGAAAACUUCUCUUGAGACUUUGAUAAUGAGAAUCCGCAUGGAAGAAGAAGCAAGGAGCCAAGACGCACUUAUGCAAACAGAAGAGAACAACAUCAUACCGAAGAUACUGAAAACGUGCGUCUACACCUCAGGCAAACGUUACCGAAGAACCUUUUGUGGCAGUGAUUACAGACAUAAACAUGGUGGUGAAUGUUGAUGGAUGGUGGACUGAAUCUGGUGCAAACCGUCAUGUCUGUUAUAACAAAGACUGGUUUAAAAGUGCUUGGAGAUUCACACAUAAGUCAAGCACUUGGAAUGGGGAAUGUUGAGUUGAGAUUUACUUUUGGAAGGGUAUUAAUCUUAAAAAAUGUACUUUGUACUCCUUCCAUGAGAAAAAACUUGAUGUCUAGUUUUCUUCUUAAUAAAGCGAACUUCAAACAGAUUAUUGGAUC